rnacentral:lncRNA from 1 species
UUCAAAGGUGCAUGCAUAAGUAGAAAUGUAACUGACACGGUUUUAUAAUUAUUUUUUCGCAGUUCACACACAAAAUAAUGACUUAAGGGUAAAAAGCCAGUUACACUAUUUCUUAAUCAAUCGAGUAAAAAUUACGUGAAAUUUGUACCAAACAAAAAAUAAAAAAUUAUUUAAUUGUCGCAGUUUGACUAUGUUUAUUAU